rnacentral:rRNA from 1 species
UACGUAGGCAGCGAGCGUUGUUCGGAGUUACUGGGCGUAAAGCGUGCGUAGGCGGUGUCUUAAGUUUGUUGUGAAAUCUCCCGGCUUAACCGGGAGGGUGCGGCGAAUACUGAGAUGCUGGAGUGCCGGAGAGGUAAGCGGAAUUCCUGGUGUAGCGGUGAAAUGCGUAGAGUAUCAGGAGGAACACCUGCGGUGUAGACGGCUUACUGGACGGUAACUGACGCUGAGGCACGAAAGCGUGGGCAGCAAACAGG